rnacentral:lncRNA from 1 species
AGCAACUCUUUCGGGUCCCCUUCCGCUGUGUGGAAGGUUUGUCCUUUUGCUCUUCACACUAAGUCUUGCUGCUGCUCACUCUUUGGGUCCGCGCGGCCUUUGUGAGCUGUAACACUCACCGCAAAGGUCUGCAGCUUCACUCUUGAAGCCAGCACGAAGGUGUGCAGCUUCACUCCUGAAGCCAGCGAGAGACCACGAACCCCCCGGGAGGGAAGAACAACUCUGGCGGAGAGGAACAAACAUCUCCAGAAGCGCCUCAUUUAAGAACUGUAACACUCACUACGAAGGUCUGUAGCUUCACUCCUGAAGCCAGCGAGACGACGAACCCACCAGAAGAAAGAAACUCUGGACACACCAUCUUUAAGAACUGUAAUACUCACCGUGAGGGUCUGCGGCUUCAUUCUUGAAGUCAGUGAGACCAAGAACCCACCAAUUCUGGACACAAUUGGAUACUAUAAGCAAUAAAGCUUGGCCUUCAGAAAUUCCCAGUCUUGCAAAGGCAAGAGGGAAACACAGCAAGGAGAAAGGGUGUCUGCUGAAUAUCUGCCAAGAGGAAGUUUGGGGAGAUACCACAUACAUAGUAAUUCCA